AUUGAACGCUGGCGGCAUGCUUUACACAUGCAAGCCGAACGGCAGCGCGGGCUUCGGCCUGGCGGCGAGUGGCGAACGGGUGAGUAAUGCAUCGGAACGUGCCCAGUAGUGGGGGAUAGCCCGGCGACAGCCGGAUUAAUACCGCAUACGACCUGAGGGUGAAAGCGGGGGACCGAAAGGCCUCGCGCUAUUGGAGCGGCCGAUGUGGGAUUAGCUAGUUGGUGGGGUAAAGGCUUACCAAGGCGACGAUCCGUAGCUGGUCUGAGAGGACGACCAGCCACACUGGGACUGAGACACGGCCCAGACUCCUACGGGAGGCAGCAGUGGGGAAUUUUGGACAAUGGGGGCAACCCUGAUCCAGCCAUGCCGCGUGCGGGAAGAAGGCCUUCGGGUUGUAAACCGCUUUUGUUCGGGAAGAAAUCCUCUGGGCUAAUACCCCGGGGGGAUGACGGUACCGGAAGAAUAAGCACCGGCUAACUACGUG
rnacentral:rRNA from 1 species